UUAUCUUUAUUAAUUAUUAAUUAUUAGGGUUAAUUGCGUACAGAUUCUUGUAAAUAUAAUAAAUUGCAAAUAUAUUCCUACAAAGUUCAACUUUCAUAUAAUGCCUCUACAAAAAUUAUGAUAUUUUUAAAUAUAUUCCUACUGUUAGAAUCUAUUAGAAAAAUUUAGUUAACUAUAAAUUAAAUACUUAACUCAAGUUAAUUAAUGAGGUGAAUCGACCUUUUUACCUCUCUUCAAUUAACAAUUAAAAAUUUUGAAGUAACAUAUUUGUGAUGUCAAAAAGGUAAUUUUACUUAUCAAAUAAACAGUGUUUAACGAUAAGAAACAAGAAAAAUAUAUUUAAAAAUAUUAAAUUUUUUUAAAAAUAAUAUAUAAAAAUUGAACUUUAUAAAAAUAUAUUUAUAAUUUACUAUAUUUAAAGAAAACUGUAUGAAAUUAAUCUUAAUUAUUAUUAUUAUUAUUAUCUGUUGCACGAAAUUUCAAACACCUUUCCCUCUU
rnacentral:lncRNA from 1 species